rnacentral:lncRNA from 1 species
CAGUCCCAUUUUAACAAGAAUAUAUACAGAUGUGAAAUAGGAACAUAGGGAAUCUGCAAAAUUUUUAUGAUCACUGCCCUAUGUAGUUUAAAAUUGAAGUAAAUGCAUACAGAAAAUAUUUGCAUGGUAAUACUAGAUAAAAGGCAAGAUAAGUCAGCAUAGGGAAUCCUUUAGAUUCAGAGUCAUGAUUGACUUUUCAAAUGGAUUAGACUCAUCUAGUGCCAGUUUUGCCCCUGGAAUAAUGUGGCUUUGAGAUAGUGGCUUCACAUUCUAUAUGGAUUCAUCUCUUUAUUCCUGUGGACUCUAUACCAUGUUCAGACAUCUUAUCUAACCUUCAUUGUUUACCUGGCGAUAGUGGCAAGUUAGGUAUACAUCCUAGCACCUAAACUCUAUGGACUGAUGUGUUCUAACUAAAAAGUCAUUAAGGAAAAGAUUCACAAAGUCAUUCAGGGUCUUGAAAGUCAAUAAAAAGUUACCCAGGAACCCUAAUGAAGAGAUAAUACUUGACUUGUUAGACACAAAUGCAAUGAAAUGUAUCAAUAAUUAAAACAUUGCAUCCUUUAUAAUUGUUUAUAUUCUUUGCUUUUAUAUUUCAAAACAAAAUCCUUUUGCUUAGCUUGUGUAUAUAUUAAUUAGACAAUUUUCAGAUAGUGUUCAUUUUUAGAACACAGAGUUAAUUAACAAGUAACCCUGUUAAUGGGCUUAAAUGAGGGAAAUAUUUCUGUAAUACAUAAUUGUAUAUUUGAACUUGAGUAGGGAUAUUUUGAGCCCUUGGGUCAUACAUUAAAUAAAACAUUUUGUGUCUUUUGAAAGAUUCCUGAUAAUACUUCUCCAUUCUUGCCUAUGAGCCCUGAAUAUAAUUCUGAUUUUAUUUUUCAAAAUGAUCUUCAUCUCCCUUUAUUGGAAAGUGUCACUUCAUCAAUCCUUUGGCAAUAAACUUCUGCUGUGGCUUGACCUCCCUCUGUUCUCGUGUGACUUUACAAUUCAUCCUUUAAGUGGAACUGUCAUUUUGGUAUGAUCCUUGGUUUAAUCCUGUUAAACUCCUGCAAGCAUUCCAUUUUAUAUAUGUUGAACACUUACUUGAAAUGUAAGACACUUUUACAAUCCAUUUUUCAUUUCUGAAGCCACUGCUCUACAGUAGAUUUACCAUUCACUCCUGAAACUGGGGUUUCCCAGCAGAUGGACGUUCAUGACAUUGUAUCAUCAUUGCUUUCAUUCACCGUAUCUGUCAUUUCUUUAUCUGUUACCUUUAUGCACGGACUUAAAUGUGUCCUGAAACUCAGCUAUGUUUCUAAGAGGGUAACAAAAUUCUCCCCCAAAUUCUGAGGGUGUAAGGUUGCUCUUUAUGUUGAAAGCACAUAGAGCAUUUUAUCUGGAAUUCGUAAGCCUGGUUUUAAUUCUUUAAUCAUGUACCAGCUGUAUGACUUGAGAAAGUCACAAUUCCCUUUAUUAAUCACAGGUACUAUCUACUUUAAAUAAUUGUCAAUGAUUCAACAAUCUCAAUGAAAAAAAGGUACAAAGGCAUAACCACCAUCUGUUUUACUAUACUAAGUUUAUUUGAUAGAGGUUUAGAGAAUCAAAGUGUAUUUAGCACCUAACACAUGCCAAGGACUGAACUUAGUGUUUUACAUUUAUUUGAAAAUGUUGCCCUUAAAAAUGCUUCAAAGAAAAAAGGUAAAUUAGUCUGUGUUUAUGUGUGGUAUAGAUCCAUUUUUUAUAUACCUAAAAGAAUAUAUACAACUUUGCAGUUCCUACAAGUCUCAGUAUCUUUACAUGAAAAUGGGGAUAAUAGUAUAAUUAAAUGAUAAAGAUUCCCUUAAAGACUAAUUAAAUCAUAUCACAUUUUAGCAAAAUAUCUCACAGAUAGUAAGUUUUUAGUAAAAAUUAAUUAGCAAAGCUUGUUGGACUGAUAGUGAUUGUGGAGGUAAUGGACAAUAAUUAGUUUCUAAUUUAUUAAUAACUGUGUAUCCCAAAUGUUUCUAACAUGGUUAAUGUUAUAUGCAAAGGAAAUAUGUAUUCCCUAUUAAAUUUUUUUUAAGGUGAGGUUGUGAUUAGAUAUUCUGGAAGGCCCACAAAACUCACUUAACUUCUAAGGGGGCUCAACUAUUUUAUGCACUGGAGUAUAUAGUUCUGUUAUCCUAAAGUAUCACCCCUGCAUAUUUUUGAGUUACAGUGGAUGGUUUCAAAUCUUCCCAAUGAAACUAAAAUCAACCAAUUUUGACCAUGUGUUUUAAAGGAUAAAAAUAUAAAUAAUAGGACUUCAAACCGAUGAUGACAUUAAUCUAUUGAGAUGCAGACAUUGUGACUUUCUAGCAUAUUUGUUGCUGUGAGGAACUAAAUGGCAGAUCUGAGUGACAAUGGUACACUUCCAUCUCAGUCCCAGAAACAAGGGCCCCAGAUCAUUCCUUUUAAUCAGUUGUCUUAGGUUGCAUUUGGAAAGUAAGGACUUUUUUUUUUUUUUUUUCCAGAUAUCAUUGGAAAUAGAGUUUUCUUAUUUGUCAACCACAGUUCCAUUGCCUGAAUUUUUAAGUAUUUUAUUUGCGUUUUGUUUGUCUCCAGGCUCUAAUUGUUUUUUAUUUCAGCAUGUGUAUUUUCCCAAUAAGAUUGCCUUCAACACAUGGCAAUUGAUUUUUAUUGAAUCCUACGAAGUACCUGGUUAAGUGCUAAUGACCUUUACCAUUUCAUAUGAAUUGUAUUGGAAUACCACUAGAAACUGACUCUGAAUUCAGAUUUCUGUUCAACCUAAAAUUUUGUCCAACUAUUGUUCCAGAAAUCUUAGUAUUUUGCAUAUAUGUAAAUGGUUCCAGAAAGGAGUUUCUAUUAUUUAAUUAAUUGUUUCUUAAAACAUUCUGCCUAUACUACUUAUGUAGUAUAAGAUGAUUUCUAGUAGUGCAUAAACUUUGUUUAUAAAUAGGGAUUUAACUUAAUGUACAUUAACAAAUGCAAUUGAUCUCAGUCCCAUUAUAUCAGAAAUACUACUUAUGUAAUUUCAAGAAGUUUGUCAAUUUAAGGUAGACUUAGAGAAAAUAUUAAAUGUGUAGAUGACGUAGGCUUUAGAAGCUUUGUGAAAGCAGUACAGAAUUUCGUACACCAUUGGUAAGAUAAGAUUAUUGGGGACAGAUGUGUUCAAACUCCCCAUCAAUGUUAUGAUUGGCAUGGGAAAAAGUUUGUGAUACAGUCCUUUUGGAAAACGUGUGAUUGAGAGUCCACUUGUGUAGGUGGCUAGGAGGAGAUGAAAAAAAAGAACCUUGAGGGUUUUGCAUGAGUGGGAAUUUGCAUGAGAGACAAAUAAUGAUGAAUGUUGUUACUGUGAUACUAAGGCAGAAUAAGCACAUAAAGAAACAAUAACAAUGGAUUUCAUGGCCAAAUAAACUACAUUAAACAAAUGUAUGCACUCUAGGUUUUCUUGUAAAUGUUAUAAAGCUAAUUGCACUGUGGAUUAAUAACAGUGGACUAAAACAUAAGUUAUUUUCUAAAUGUAUUUGACCAUGGAAACCUUCUCUUCAAAAAUUCCUAUUAAUAUUUAAGAGAAGCAGACUAUUUGGGGCAAUACUUGGUAACUG